rnacentral:rRNA from 1 species
CCCUUAGAUGUUCGGGGCCGCACGCGCGCUACACUGAAGGAAUCAGCACGUCUUUCUCCUUGUCCGAAAGGACUGGGUAACCCGCUGAACCUCCUUCGUGCUAGGGAUUGGGGCUUGUAAUUCUUCCCCAUGAACGAGGAAUUCCCAGUAAGCGCGAGUCAUAAGCUCGCGUUGAUUACGUCCCUGCCCUUUGUACACACCGCCCGUCGCUACUACCGAUUGGAUGGUUUAGUGAGAUCCUCGGAUUGGUCCCGGAGUGGCCUCUGGUCGUGCCGGAGUGCCGAAAAGAAUGUCGAACUUGAUCAUCUAGAGGAAGUAAAAGUCGUAACA